rnacentral:rRNA from 1 species
AUUGAACGCUGGCGGCAUGCCUUACACAUGCAAGUCGAACGGCAGCGCGGAGACGCUUGCCUCUUUGCCGGUGAGUGGCGGGCGGGUGAGAAUAGCAUCGGAACGUGCUAAGUAGUGGGGGAUAACCAAAAGAAAGUUUGGCUAAUACUGCGUAAGACCGAAGGAGGAAAGUAGGGGACCUAAAUAAGGCCUUAGGCUAUUUGAUCGGCCGAUGUCGGAUUAGCUAGUUGGUGGGGUAAUGGCUUACCAAGGCAAUGAUCCGUAGCUGGUCUGAGAGGACGAUCAGCCACACUGGGACUGAGACACGGCCCAGACUCCUACGGGAGGCAGCAGUGGGGAAUUUUGGACAAUGGGCGAAAGCCUGAUCCAGCCAUGCCGCGUGUAUGAAGAAGGCCUUAGGGUUGUAAAGUACUUUUGUUAGGGAAGAAAAGCUUGGUUUUAAUAAGGACGAGUGAUGACGGUACCUAAAGAAUAAGCACCGGCUAACUACGUG